AGUGAACGCUGGCGGUAGGCCUAACACAUGCGAGUCGAACGGCAGCACAGUAAGAGCUUGCUCUUACGGGUGGCGAGUGGCGGACGGGUGAGGAAUACAUCGGAAUCUACUUUUUCGUGGGGGAUAACGUAGGGAAACUUACGCUAAUACCGCAUACGACCUACGGGUGAAAGCAGGGGAUCUUCGGACCUUGCGCGAAUGAAUGAGCCGAUGUCGGAUUAGCUAGUUGGCGGGGUAAAGGCCCACCAAGGCGACGAUCCGUAGCUGGUCUGAGAGGAUGAUCAGCCACACUGGAACUGAGACACGGUCCAGACUCCUACGGGAGGCAGCAGUGGGGAAUAUUGGACAAUGGGCGCAAGCCUGAUCCAGCCAUACCGCGUGGGUGAAGAAGGCCUUCGGGUUGUAAAGCCCUUUUGUUGGGAAAGAAAAGCAGCAGGUUAAUACCCCGCUGUUCUGACGGUACCCAAAGAAUAAGCACCGGCUAACUUCGUG
rnacentral:rRNA from 1 species